UACGUAGGGUGCAAGCGUUGUCCGGAAUUAUUGGGCGUAAAGAGCGCGUAGGCGGUUUGUCGCGUCUGCUGUGAAAACCCGAGGCUCAACCUCGGGCCUGCAGUGGGUACGGGCAGACUAGAGUGCGGUAGGGGAGAUUGGAAUUCCUGGUGUAGCGGUGGAAUGCGCAGAUAUCAGGAGGAACACCGAUGGCGAAGGCAGAUCUCUGGGCCGUAACUGACGCUGAGGAGCGAAAGCGUGGGGAGCGAACAGG
rnacentral:rRNA from 1 species